UACGGAGGGUGCAAGCGUUGUUCGGAAUCACUGGGCUUAAAGCGUGCGUAGGCGGAUCUGUAAGUCAGAAGUGAAAUCCCUGGGCUUAACCCAGGAAUUGCUUUUGAGACUGCAAGUCUAGAAACCGGAAGAGGUUAGCGGAACUCCCAGUGUAGAGGUGAAAUUCGCAGAUAUUGGGAAGAACACCAGUGGCGAAGGCGGCUAACUGGUCCGGUAUUGACGCUGAGGCACGAAAGCGUGGGUAGCAAACAGG
rnacentral:rRNA from 1 species